rnacentral:rRNA from 1 species
GCCGACGAUCAUACUACGUCGAAAGCACCGCAUCUCGUCAGAUCUGCGCAGUUAAACAACGUUAGGCGGCAUCAGUACCUUGGUUGGUGACAACAAGGGAACGUUCGGUGUCGUGGGCA